rnacentral:rRNA from 1 species
AUGGAGCCGAGCAUCCUCAUCAACCACGGUCGGCGCCCACACAAUAGCCACAAGGUCAUCGCCUCGUCACCGGCGAUGGAGCACCAGCUCUUCCUGCUGACCCAGCACGCGGUCGUGGUCACCGCGGUGGGCACAAAGGCGCAUGCGGCGAGCCCGCUCUCCCUCGGCCGUGCUAUCGAGCGCGAGCUCAAGAUUUCCCCACACCUGCUCCGCAUCACCAACAACGACCCCGAAGACUUCUUCGUCUACUUCACCAUGCCGGCGCACAAGGACCUGGCGGUGCGGCGUGGCUCGCUGUCGGUGGACGGCGUGCCGUUCCUGCUCGAGCCGUGGCGGGAGGACGCCCACUCCGUCCGGCUCAAGUGGAUGCUGCACGCUCGUGUCGUCAUCGAGCGGCUCCCCAUGCAGCUCUGGACGAUCGAGGGCGCGCUCGAGGCCAUCGGUGACAAGGUCAUCGUCGACCGCCUCGACAGUCGGACCCACGAGCGCGUCGACACCAAGUUGUUCGCUUGCUGGGUCUGGUGCUGGGAUAUCGCCCACAUCCCCACGAAGCGCACAAUUUGGAAGCACGCCCGGGGCGCGGGACGCGUCGACGAGACGGUGGGCUACUCCCCGCCGAGCCGCGCCGUCGCGCCUCCGCCAGAGCUGCUACAGUACGAUCUGCUCAUCCACCUCGACCGCGUAGAAGACUGGACCCCGCUCUCGCCUCGCUCCUCCAACUCGCCGUAG